GAUGAACGCUGGCGGCGUGCCUAAUACAUGCAAGUCGAGCGAACAGAUGAGGAGCUUGCUCCUCUGACGUUAGCGGCGGACGGGUGAGUAACACGUGGAUAACCUACCUAUAGGACUGGGAUAACUUCGGGAAACCGGAGCUAAUACCGGAUAAUAUAUUGAACCGCAUGGUUCAAUAGUGAAAGACGGUUUUGCUGUCACUUAUAGAUGGAUCCGCGCCGCAUUAGCUAGUUGGUAAGGUAACGGCUUACCAAGGCAACGAUGCGUAGCCGACCUGAGAGGGUGAUCGGCCACACUGGAACUGAGACACGGUCCAGACUCCUACGGGAGGCAGCAGUAGGGAAUCUUCCGCAAUGGGCGAAAGCCUGACGGAGCAACGCCGCGUGAGUGAUGAAGGUCUUCGGAUCGUAAAACUCUGUUAUUAGGGAAGAACAAAUGUGUAAGUAACUAUGCACGUCUUGACGGUACCUGAUCAGAAAGCCACGGCUAACUACGUG
rnacentral:rRNA from 1 species